rnacentral:rRNA from 1 species
GACGAACGCUGGCGGCGUGCUUAACACAUGCAAGUCGAACGGAAAGGCCCUUCGGGGUACUCGAGUGGCGAACGGGUGAGUAACACGUGGGUGAUCUGCCCUGCACUUUGGGAUAAGCCUGGGAAACUGGGUCUAAUACCGAAUAGGACCACGCGCUUCAUGGUGUGUGGUGGAAAGCUUUUGCGGUGUGGGAUGGGCCCGCGGCCUAUCAGCUUGUUGGUGGGGUAAUGGCCUACCAAGGCGACGACGGGUAGCCGGCCUGAGAGGGUGACCGGCCACACUGGGACUGAGAUACGGCCCAGACUCCUACGGGAGGCAGCAGUGGGGAAUAUUGCACAAUGGGUGCAAGCCUGAUGCAGCGACGCCGCGUGAGGGAUGACGGCCUUCGGGUUGUAAACCUCUUUCAAUAGGGACGAAGCGCAAGUGACGGUACCUAUAGAAGAAGCACCGGCCAACUACGUG